GUGUCAGCAGCCGCGGUAAUACGGGGGGAGCAAGCGUUGUUCGGAAUCACUGGGCGUAAAGGGAGUCUAGGCGGUUUGGUAAGUGGGAUGUGAAAUGCCCCGGCUCACCCGGGGACCUGCAUCCCAAACUGCUGAGCUUGAGUACAGGAGAGGGUGGGGGAAUUCCAGGUGUAGCGGUGAAAUGCGUAGAUAUCUGGAGGAACACCGGUGGCGAAGGCGCCCACCUGGCCUGCUACUGACGCUGAAGCUCGAAAGCUAGGGGAGCAAACGGGAUUAGAUACCCUAGUAGUCC
rnacentral:rRNA from 1 species